AAAAUUACUAUUAGAAUUUAAUUAAAUUACUUAUUAUUUGUUCAAAUUUGACCGUUAAGAUUGAUGAAAAUUUUCAAGAUAUAGACUAAACUGUUAUAUGUUAUAUGUUAAAAUUAUUAAAUUAUUACAAAAUUGAAAGUGCUAAAGUAAAAAUUGUUACAAACCAAAGUUUAUAACAAUAAAUCAUUACAUCUAUGAAAGUUUUUAACCAAAAGAAUUCCAUUAAAUAUUGAAUAUGAACGAAAAUUUAUACGACUCAACAGUAAUUCACAUGUAUUAUGUAUUUCAGUAUCAGAGUUUCAUAUAUUCAAAUCUCCACUUAUGGUUAGAUAACAAAAUAAGAGGAUGGACUAAAAUGAUUGUUUUGAAAGUUUAGGUUCAAAUACGAAAAUGAUUGUAUUUACACAGAGAUAUUUGAGCCUCCAACUUGGAUUGAGACUUGAGUGGACUGAAAGAAAGUCCACUAUGGGGUUGAAGCAUGUGAGAAAUAGUGUGAACUAAAGAUCAUUGUAACCCUUGAAAUUCUUUUCCUACAAUGAAACUAUUUAGUGGUAAAAUAUAUUUCUCCUUUCCUCUCUGAAUGUUUCCAAUCACUCCACCCAUUAUUGACUAACUUUAACAAAAAGUAUCUUCACCCAAAGUUUUAGUGUCGAUCGUACCUCUAACAACUUUCGUGAUCAACUCUCACUCCCAAUUUCAGUAAAGACGACUGAUCUUAACGAUGGUUUUGACGAUCAUUCUGACGACCACCUUUGACGAUCACCCUCUGACAAUCACUUUAGUGGAUACCAUUUUUUAUGUCUAAUUUUGACAAUAGCUACCUCUAAGAACCACCUAUGUGACCAACCGUGAGUAUGUCAAGAGAAUUAAUGCAUGAAUAGUUUUCAAAGUUAAAAAGAUGACAUCAGUUUAUAAAAAAUUAAAA
rnacentral:lncRNA from 1 species